GUCCAUUUUACACUCUCAUUUUCAAGUUUGUGACACUACUUCUUCUCAUGACAAGAAAAUGUAAACUCGAGUGACUGGAAGGGAAGCCUCUGCCUCUUGCUGAACAGCAGCCUUAACACUGACACCGUGGCCUUUCACAGAAGGGAAAUAAGCUUUCUUCUCAGCUAGGAUGUCCCCUUGGCAGCGGCGUGCCUCAGUGACGUGGAUGUGUAGCGGUGACAGGGUACUCCGUGUUCCACCCGUCCACCUUAUCAACCUGCUGCAGGGCGCUGGUGUGGGCUGCGUGCGA